rfam:Triticum aestivum genome assembly, contig: Triticum_aestivum_CS42_TGACv1_scaffold_049699_1BS
UUAGUACUCCCUCCGUUCGGAAUCACUUGUCGUUGAAAUGGAUGUAUUUAGACAUAUUUUAGUUCUAGAUACAUCCAUUUUUAAGACAAGUAAUUCCGAACGGAGGGAGUAGAUU